UGCAGUCGAGCGAAUGGAUUAAGAGCUUGCUCUUAUGAAGUUAGCGGCGGACGGGUGAGUAACACGUGGGUAACCUGCCCAUAAGACUGGGAUAACUCCGGGAAACCGGGGCUAAUACCGGAUAACAUUUUGAACCGCAUGGUUCGAAAUUGAAAGGCGGCUUCGGCUGUCACUUAUGGAUGGACCCGCGUCGCAUUAGCUAGUUGGUGAGGUAACGGCUCACCAAGGCAACGAUGCGUAGCCGACCUGAGAGGGUGAUCGGCCACACUGGGACUGAGACACGGCCCAGACUCCUACGGGAGGCAGCAGUAGGGAAUCUUCCGCAAUGGACGAAAGUCUGACGGAGCAACGCCGCGUGAGUGAUGAAGGCUUUCGGGUCGUAAAACUCUGUUGUUAGGGAAGAACAAGUGCUAGUUGAAUAAGCUGGCACCUUGACGGUACCUAACCAGAAAGCCACGGCUAACUACGUGCCAGCAGCCGCGGUAAUACGUAGGUGGCAAGCGUUAUCCGGAAUUAUUGGGCGUAAAGCGCGCGCAGGUGGUUUCUUAAGUCUGAUGUGAAAGCCCACGGCUCAACCGUGGAGGGUCAUUGGAAACUGGGAGACUUGAGUGCAGAAGAGGAAAGUGGAAUUCCAUGUGUAGCGGUGAAUGCGUAGAGAUAUGGAGGAACACCAGUGGCGAAGGCGACUUUCUGGUCUGUAACUGACACUGAGGCGCGAAA
rnacentral:rRNA from 1 species